GGGAUGAUUGGAAAACUUCACUCCAAUUGAUUCCCACCCAACAUUUGGUUGUUGAACAACAGCACAGAUGUGUUUACAAGGCAUCUUCCGACUCCUGUAAUCAAGACAUUGGCAGGAAGGCAUUUGGUCGUUUGAUCCCAAAAAAACUUGAUAUGUGGAUGAUGAGCUUGUGACAGUGAAAUGUUUUGUCGUUUCCAUCUUGAUGUUUUUACUUGGAAUGUCAGAUUCCAUCCGUUGAAUAAUAUGAGAAACAACAUACUUUGGUCUAUUGUGCAGGAACUUUGGGAUUUGUUUGCUAUAGGACUUGUAUGAAUCGGAUGAUUUGAUAUUCUGUUCCUUAUAUCUAUAAAGAGAAAAUUGUUUCCACAGUGGAUUCUCUUGACUGAUGAUGUUCAGGACUUCUGAUAUGGAAUCCAUGUCCUCAUUUUGGGAUAUGAAGACAGCAACAACGAUGUAACAAACAUUUGAUCGGACACAUAAGAAAAACAACGGCAGUGCAUACCUCAAAAGAUGCGAAUUGGAAAACUUUAAAACAUUAACUUUCCAAGUGACAAGAAAAUAAGGUAUUUUGUAUUACCUACAUGUGCGAUAAGUGGCAUCCAUUAAACACAUUUCGUUCCCAUAACGCAAUAAUAA